GCUACCUCGGCCAGGGCCCUUCCCCUCCUCCGCCAUUACCGGUUUGAGAAAUACUCCGCUUUGCAGGGCCCAGUUUGAGGAGCUUGGAGCUAUUCCCAGGCAUCCUGUCCCUGGAUUGCAGCGAGAAGUGAUCGGCACCUCCCCCUCCAUGUCCUUUCCUCAGUUAAGCUGCAGAGAGCAAUGGGGUUGCCCCCCAGCCUCCUUUUCUCCAAACUCGACAAGCUUAAAGUCCUCAGCUGCUCCUCAGAGGGCAUGCUUUGCUGGCCUUCUCUGGACACAUUCAAGGACCUUCUCAUCCUUCUUAAAUGGUUGGGGCCAGAACUGCACUUGAGGUGAGGCUGCACCAGCACUGAAUACAGUGGGAUAAUCCCCUCUCUUGAGCGGCUGGUUCUGCUGCAUUUGAGGCACCGCUGGAUGUGGUUUGCCCUCUUGGCUGACUGCUGUUGAGCUGCUGCCACCUAGCACCCCCAGAUUCCUUUCUGCAGGGCUGUUCUCCAACCGCUCCUUUCCUGGUUUAUGGGGUGUCCUUGGAAAUCUGUUGGCGAGUCCAGAGGAGGCCACAGAAAUGGUCAGAAGGCUGGAACACAUCUUCUGUGAGGACAGGCUGAGAGAGUUGGCAUGGAGGAGGCUCCAGGAGACCUCACUGCAGCCUUUCAGUACUUAAAGGGGGCUUAAAAAAAAGAUGGAGAGAGACUUUUUAGCAGGGCCUGUUGCAACAGGACAAGUGGCAAUGGUUUUAAAAUAAAGGAGGGCAGAUUCAGACUAGAUUUAAGGAAGAAAUCUUUUACACUGAGGGUGGCAAAACACUGGCACAGGUUACCCAGAGAGGUGGUCAAUGACCCAUCCCUGGAAACAUUCAAGGCCAGGUUGGACAGGGCUCUGAGCAACCUGAUCUAUUUGAAGAUGUCCCUGCCCAUGUCAGGGGGCUUGGACUAGAUGACCUUUGAAGGUCCCUUCCCACCCAGACUGUUCUGUGAUGAUUCUGUGAAACCUUUCAGAUGAAAUUUCUCAUGCAACUGAAGGAGCAUGAAGUCAUCAGUUCCUCUUAACAGUAGAAGUAUUUUUAUAAUUUAAUCGAUAUCCUGUUCUUUGCUUUAUAUAUAGAAAAGUGGUGAAGGGUCUAGAAAGCAAGUCUUAUGAGGAGUGUCUGAGGGCACUGGGGGUGUUUAGCCUGGAGAAAAGGAGGCUUAGGGGAGAUCUUCUCACUCUACAACUGUCUGAAAGUAGGGUGUAGCGAGGUGCGGUUGGUCUCCAAACUAACAAGUGAUAGGACAAAGGGAAAUAGCCUGAAGUUGCACCAGGGGAGGUUUAAAUUGGAUAUUAGGAAAAAUGUCUUCACUGCAAAGGUUGUCAAGCACUGGAACAGGCUGCCCAGCGAGGUGGUGGAGUCACCAUCCCUGGAGGGAUUUAAAAGACUUGUAGAUGUGGCGCUUAGGGAUGUGGUUUAGUGGUGGGCUUGGCAGUGCUGGGUUAACCGUUGGACUCAGUGAUCUUAAGGGUCUUUUUCAACCUAAACAAUUCUAUGAUUCUAAAUUAUUCUGUGAUUCUAAAACAAGGUCGACAAUUGUCAAAGGACAGCAAACUACAGGCAGAUCCCACCUCUGGAAGUGCUGUGCUCUGGUGAAGACGUGGUCUCUGGCAGGCAGUAAGCAGAUUACAAAGCACAGAGAUGACAUGGGGCAAUGGGAGAAGCUGCAGAUUAAAACUGGCUGAGUUCCAGUGAUCCUUUGGGGGACUGUAGUUCCCCAGAUGCGUUUAAACCUACCUGCAGACUUCAUGAAGAAGGAGAGUUUGAAAGAGAGCUGGAUAUUUGAUGUGGAAUAGUUUUUGCCUCCAACUUGGUUUUGAUGUUCAACGACAUUUCAAAUAAUUUAUGCUGAAUUCUCUCUUGGUUGAUUAGUAUCUGGUAUUAAAGCUUAAUGCUGGAGACUCAGCUUUUCUGUGUUCCUGAAAAGCAUUCAGAUAAUUGUGAACAUGGUCAAAAAUAGUUUGAUCAAAAUUUCUGUAUUUUGAGGAGAAAAGGCUUGUACCAUCAAAACGAGAUAGUGGAGGGGGAGACUUGUGGGAGGGGAAAACGUACAAAACCCUGUAAAGGAAUGAAGCUGAAAGGGAGAUCUUUGGGUGACAAUAUCCCCUUUCCCCAGGGCAUCACCUCCAAGGAUCUGUCGUUUUGAUGGUAUGAGACAUUUCCUACAGUAAAAUCAGGAGAAAUGUGAAGUGGUCAUAAACUGCAGCAUCCUUUCUGCUGAGGUAAUUCCAAGGGGCUGGGUAGCUCUGAGGAAUUAAUCAUUUUCCCUGCCGGGCUCCUGUGUCCAAACUGCCUCCGGGUGGGAGGGACUGGCUGGCUGAUGGGUCAGGGGUGGCCCAGGCCUCCUGGCUCCAGCUCAGGUUGAAAUCCCAGUUCAGAGCACUGACCGGGAGUCCUGGCAUUGGGGCAUGGAGCCCGAGGUGGUGAUUCUCUCGGCUGCCUCCUUCAGUCCUGAUCUGCAUUCUUCAUUACUGGUUUCAGCUUAUCGUUAGACUGCAGCAAUGUAGAUUGAUGAGAUGUGUGAUAGGAGAGCUUAAGGCUCCAGGCAGCGUAAGUGUAAUAUUAGCAUUAGCAGGAGGCACUGCAAACAUAAAAUAUAUUUUUUGUGUGCAGCUGUCUUGCAGAACUCCAUAGCAGAACUUGUCCUGCGAUCACAGGGAGCAAAGUCUCUAAUGACCUGCAAAUAGCACUGAGAGAGCUGAAAAGUGGGGCUGCCAAAGCAGAGCUCUUGCAUGCACAGCAGAAUUUAAAAAUAGGCUGCUGCUGGCGUUCUUGCUUACCCGUCAUUCCUGGAAGCCCACGGGGAGGACGACUCUCCAGCAGAGGAGAGACGCAGUCCCCUGACGUGACUUCCCUCAGCAUCUACGCCGCAGAGCAGAAAGUUGCAGAUUCAGUCAUUUUACACCAGAGCAUCCCUGACUGUUGUUUGCAUCUUUUCCAGCUCCAGGUCUCUGCUGGUGCUGGCUUUCCCCUCCCCGGAGCAGCGAGGUGGCAGGGGCACCGGGCAGAUGCCCCCUCACCCAUGGCGCUGCCAUCACGGUGGGAGCAAGGAGUCUCUUUAGCUUGACAUUUUCAGUGCCUUCAGGGAAGCUCAGCGCAUGUGGGAGUAGAGACAUGGGGGAGAUGAAUGCCUCUGCAGAUGAAACUGCUUUCAGAAGCUCCCACCAACAGCGCGAGGUGUCAGCCCCAGUCAAAGACUUGUCGUGGGGAAUGCAGUUGGGCCAGAAAAAAGAGCUCGAGGGUGGGAGCAUGAGGAGUUGAGGAUGCUGAGCUGCAGCGUCUCCAGGCAAGGAUGAGCUCUGCAUUUACAAAGGACUGCAGAGAACCAGGCUGUGAAACGCCCCCUCCCCAUUAGGAGUGAGGGGUCUGCAAGAAGGUCCUGAGAAGCCACCCCUGGGUACCACAGCCUGGUGGCACAGCAUCGUCCCUUUGUGGGGAAAGGACCCCAAUGCUGUGUGCCGAGGGACUGAGGGAGAUGGGCAGCCAAUGGCUGAGCUGGGGCUUCUCGAAGCAGAGGCGGGCAGUGCCCGUGGGUGCAGAGGCUGCUGGGGAGCAGGUCGCCCUGCUCCACCUGCCUGUGGUGCUCAAGCUGACCGGUGGGCAGGGAGGUACAUGCAAGGCCCCCCCCCCCCCCCCCCCCCCCCCCGAGGUGCUGUGGGGUGGUGGGUGCGCUGCUCCCUCCCACAGCACUGAGCUGUGAGCCUGGUGCCGGGGGCAGAGGCAAGAAGCUGCUGGGAAGAAAGAGCUGCCCCUUCACUGGGUCACUAAGGCUGAUGCAGAAAGUGCUGGGCAAAGCCUGGGUCUGUGCCUGGUGUGGAGAAACAAGGGGUGAGGCUGGGGGUGGGUGGCUGCGGGGGGUGUGUCAGUGCUGGGCAGGGACUGGCUCGGAGGGUGGGAGGAAGCCAGGUACGGGGAUGGUCAGAGAGGGAGCUGGUCUGGGUAUCACCACCCAAAUUAGAAAAAAUGCUCCCUGAUUUUCUGUUCCCUGAUUUUUUUUCAGAGGUGUUGCUUGUGCUGGCCUCCACGCUCGGACAAAGCAGUGCUGCGACCUGCCUGGUCACUGCAGUCAUUGAGUGGCCUUGGACCUCCAGUGGCCACAAAGCCAAUCCGUCCAUGGUCACUGGACUAGACCAUGGUCACAUGGUCACUGGACCACAGCUGGCAACUGGGGUGACUGCUCCAGUGACAGAAAAGGGGCAGAGAGCAGUUAGACAUAAGGGAGGACAGGGAUGGGACAUGCAUUUGCACCAGGGAGAAAGAGGUGGGACCCAUGUUAAUCUGAGCUGAAUAAAUCACUACAGACAAAGCUUUGGGAGCAGCAGAGCACCUGCUGAAGAAGACAAAGAGAAAACACACAGAAGAGUAAAAAUUUAUUAGCUGCUAGUAAGGUGUUUCAAUAAGCUGUAGUUAGCAGAGGGUGGUGACCACAAGUUUGCCUCUGGGACAGAAAAGCCCUGGAUGCUGGAGAUCGCAGAGGCAUUUCUGACAAACUGUCUUGGGGAGAUGCAGAUUCCCCAAACCAGAGCAUGGCUGCUUUGACGAGCUCCCAGCAAGAGCAGAGGGUUCCUGAGGAGCCCAUCUCACCUCCCUGCCAGUACGGGGCUGACAGAGCUGUCCCACAGCUCCCACCUCCCAGGCUGGCUCUGCUGAGGGUGGAGAAGGCAACCCGGGGCUGUACUAACCCAACAAAGCGCUAUAGGAUGCCUGUAAGUCCUAUAGGACAAGGAACUGAGAUGUUCUGGCUCCUUGGCUGUGGGAUACCAGCAGCAGAAAACUGGUGGGGAAUCUUUUCCACUUGUGUAAUAACCUUAAAAUACCACCCAUGUUUCUUCUCCUGCCGUGGCUGGGCGAGGGUGCACCCCUACCCAAGCAAUUUCUAGAAUCCGGGCCCGGGUCCAGAUGUGCAGCACCACACAAAGCUUAAAUGUGGUCUGAAGAGAAAAAGAAUAACAAACACUGAUUGAAAAACAUCUCAUAAUCUUGGUGGUUCUGUUUAAUACUUUAAAAAGUCAAGCCCUUGGAGAUUCAGUGGCGUGGGUUUUGGAACAAAGUUUUUUUGACAGAUGGAGAGCUGGCAAGACUUGACAGAGCAGGUUGUGUGUUGGGGUCGCCCAGGAAGAGGCAAGGAGUGUCGAGCAGGGGCUGUGGGAAGAGUGGACAUACGGAGAGGAAGAGCGAGGCAGAGUGAGUUGAGCCCUGGUACAUGAUGUUUGGAAGAGUCUCUGGGGCAUGGAAGGUGGGAAGAAAUCACUUACACUUGAUGCACACGCCAGAGAGAGUAAAAGGGAGGAUUUCAGCAGCCGUGAUUCAGCUUUGGAGGCCCGCUGGAGGUAAGGCAGAGCAAGGCUCCAAGAGUGGGGGAGAAGCUGCUGCAAAAACAGAAGAGAAGAUCCCAGGGCCUUAAGGGUGCUGAAUGCAAGGAUGCACAAGAAGCAGCAGAUUUAAAAAAUACAUACACUGUGUAGGAGGCAGAAACAGGAUUUAUAACUUGCAGGAUGUUGAAAAUAAGCCAUGUCUGAGCAAAAUCAUUUGAGUGGUUAUGACUGUUCAAAUUUAAUGCAUUUUAUCCAGUGGUUAAUCACCCUUGCUGAUAAAAUUUUGUGUCUAAUUUUCAAUGUGGAUUUGUCUGGCUUCAGCUUCCAGAGAUUGAGUCUUUUUAUAUCUUUCCUGGCUCGAUUAAAGAGCCAUUUAAUAUUUCCCUAUGAAAGUACUUCUACAGUGUAAUCAAGUCACCCCUCAAUCUUCUUUUGGAUAAGCUGAACAGAUUGUGCUCUUUAAAUCUUCUGCUGUAAGGCACUCGCUCUAGCCUGCAAAUCAUUCUGCGUGGGUCUUUUCAGAAUCUCUUUGAUUUUUCAAUAUUCUUCUGAAAUAUUGUUCAUGUAAAGCAAUGCCCAGUUCUAGAGCGCUGCUGCUCCAGUGAGAUGCAGAGGUGGGGUCACCCCCUGCCCUGCCUGGGCUCCCCGUGCCCCCUGGGGGACUGGCCCCUUCCGCUCUGUGGAAGGUCGCCUUCGCCGGCUGGCCCCCACUGUGUUUUGUUUGUGCCGUUUGUCUGAGUACACACGAUGGAAGUGGGAAAGGGCCCAGACCACUCACUGCUGCAUUGCUUUUGUCUCCGGCCAGGCUUGGAGUGCGGCAAGGGCAACAGUGCCGAGCCCAGCAGCAUCUCUGGCACAGUGCCGGGGUGAGACAUGGCAGCUGCGUGGGCCAGGCACCUGUGGGUGCUGGCUCCUGGCCUCAUGGUGGGUGCAGUGUCGUGUGCCAGCACCACUGUGAGCGGGGGCCUCCCUCUCUGCUUUCUGCUUCUUUCUGCCUGCUGCACUGCCUCUGCUCCCGGGACAGGACAGGAGAGCUGCUCGCAGGCUGCAGGGCAUCACCCAGGUGGGCAAGCAGCCAGUCCCGGCACCCGGUGCUGCUCUGGGUGCCACACGUUUUGGGGAAGGUCGGCCCAGAGACUGAAAACUGCCCCUUUUCUCUCUGGAGCAGGCCUGCUGUGGGAGCAAGGUGGUCUCAGGGUUCAGCAGGGUGGACGGCACCACAGAGGGUGCAAUGACCUGCCACACCUGAGGCAGCUGGCACCCAAGGGAGCCGGGACCCCUUCCUGCAGCUCUGCCCCUCCCUGGGGCUGGGGAGCAUGCUGAGACCAGACCCGCCGGGGGCUGCUCUGGGGACCUCCAUGGCAAGAGCUGACGUCUGCUCUUGCCUUACCCAGUCUUCUAGGGAACUGGAUGCUUACCCUGUGGCUGUCCUGCCUGUCCCAUGGCUGUCUGAUUUCCUUAAAGCCCUUUGGGAAUCAAAGCAGACUUCACCUUUCGACCAUCUUAUCUGUGUGUAAUCUCUCUUCUCUUUUCAGGGCUCUCUUCAAGGUCAGGACUUCUCUGCACAACUGCCACCCCCCAUCAUAGAAUCCCCGAAUCCCUGGUUGGUGUGGGUUCGGCUUGGACCUUGAAGACCGCCCAGUCCCACCCCUGCCACACGCAGGGCCCCCUUCCCCCAGCCCCGGUGGCUCCCAGCCCCGUCCAGCCUGGCCUUGGGCACUGCCAGGGCUGGGGCACCCACAGCUGCUCUGGGCAGCCCGUGCCGGCGCCUCGCCGCCCUCACAGGGAAGGAUUUCUCCCUCAGCUCUGAUCUCCAUCUGCCCUCUCUCAGCGCAAAGCCGUUCCCCCUUGUCCUGGCGCUGCAGGCCCUUGGGAAAAGCCCCUCCCCAGCUUCCUCGCCGGCCCCUUUGGGUGCUGGAAGGUGCUCCAGGGUCUCCAGGAGCCUUCCCUUCUCCGGGCUGAACAGCCCCAGCGCUCCCAGCCCGGCUGCGCAGCAGAGGGGCUCCAGCCCUCUGGCCAUCUCCGUGGCCUCCUCUGGCCCCGCUCCAACAGGUCCGUGCCCUCCUUAUGCUGGGGGCCCCGGAGCUGGAGGCGGCGCUGCAGGGGGGUCUCAGCAGAGCGGGGCAGAGGGGCAGAGCCCCCUCCCUCGCCCCGCCGGCCACGCUGCUGGGGAUGCAGCCCAGGGCACGGGGAGCUUUCUGGGCUGCAAGCUCACAUCAUCGUCCCUAAGCAGAUCAUAUCAGUGCACCUUGCUGUAGCUUUACUCACCGCAGCUCCUACUUGUUUGCAGCUGCUGAACCUACGGGCCUGGAUUUCCCGAGAGCUCCCCUGAUGGAUGGCAUCGCUCCUGGGACCCUCCACCACCCAGGUACCCACCAGGUAUUGAGACAGCCACCAGUAAAUAUCUCUGUGUCUUAGGUCAUGCAUCCUGGGCUCCCUGCAGCAUGGGUCAGCACUGUGCCAUCAUCUCUGCUCCUCCAGUGUCUUCUGCAGCCACUGCCUCUCCAAACAGGUCCUCUGCUGCACUCUGCAAAGAGGAGUGCCUGCAGGACAACCCCCUCCCAGUGCUUCCUAGGGAAUAUUGAUGCAAAAAAUGGGUUUAGCUCCUCUGCAGUGGCCCUGCCCUGUCAGUUUACCUUUUGCGUCUGGGCACCUGUUGGCCCUGCAGAAUUCUGGAAGGCAGAAGCAGGGUGCUCCUGAUGCAUCUGAAGAAAAGAUUUAUGGUUGGGUAUAAUCUCUUUGUUCGUUGUUUCUCAGAGCAGUCUCACUGCCUUGCUGUGUUUACACAUUUAAUCUGCCAGGGUUUAUGGUCCUCUCCAUUUCCUUUAUUACUCACAAUUUCACCUUUCCAAAGGAUGUCUCAGUGUUUCUACCUGCAUCCCCCGCUCUGCUGCUGGGCUGUGCCAGCUCCCUCUCUCCUCAUCUGCUGUCCUCAUGUCUUUGCUGGGGCUCACCAGGCUCGGGGGGCUCCUUUGCCCUGCACCCCUCUAGCCUCCGUUCUCACCAGGUUAGGGCUUGUCCUCAGCACUCUGCAGAUACGUCUGCCCUUGGCUGGGCCAGUGACCAUCUCCUGUGCUUAAAUAAACCACGUGCAAAUCA